rnacentral:rRNA from 1 species
UACGGAAGGGGCAAGCGUUGUUCGGAAUCAUUGGGCGUAAAGGGCGCGUAGGUGGUUCUGUGUGUCUACCGUGAAAGCGUACGGCUCAACCGUAUUGUGUCGGUAGAAACUGCAGGACUUGAGGCUGGGAGGGGCUGGUGGAAUUCCCUGUGUAGCGGUGAAAUGCGUAGAGAUGGGGGAGAACACUCGUGGCGAAGGCGGCCAGCUGGACCAGUUCUGACACUGAGGCGCGAUAGCGUGGGGAGCAAACAGG